GCGUUGAGCUAACCUGUAGUAAUUGCCCGUGAGGCUUGAACAGAUAACACCCAAGCAG
rnacentral:rRNA from 1 species